GUCUAAAUAGUUUAAUUUAAAAUACCGAUUUGUGGUGUCGGUGAUGUGGUUCGUGUUACUUUUGACU
rnacentral:tRNA from 1 species